rfam:Alphaproteobacteria bacterium 41-28 SCNpilot_cont_1000_p_scaffold_32, whole genome shotgun sequence.
GGGCAAGAUAGGUGAAGUUGGCCAACUUCACAGUCCCUUAUUCGCGCGGGUCGCGCUCAACGGGAAUCUUGCUCUGCGAGGCG